CGCAAGCCUGAUCCAGCCAUGCCGCGUGAGUGAUGAAGGCCCUAGGGUUGUAAAGCUCUUUUGUGCGGGAAGAUAAUGACGGUACCGCAAGAAUAAGCCCCGGCUAACUUCGUGCCAGCAGCCGCGGUAAUA
rnacentral:rRNA from 1 species